rnacentral:lncRNA from 1 species
UGUGAUCUUCUCUAUAAUUUUGGUCAAACAUAAAAUGAUCUGACUCUCCAAGAAAGUUGGAAUGACUUAUAAUUUGAAACGGAGGGAGUAGCUCCAUCAAGUGGUUUGAAUGGUUCCCGCUCAAUAAUAUAGCAAACUAUCAAGUUAUUGGCUCAAUCGGAUUAUUGUACCGUCAAAGAACAAUAGGUCGUAAGUAAUUAAUUUUGCUCUUGAUUUUUAGUGAAUAGUUAUACAUGAUCGAUGGAUUAUUGGAUAACCACUUCAUCUAUGUAUUUAGGAGAAAUAAGAUCACUGGUCCCUGUCUAUCAUUCCAUGAGAUUUGAAAACAAAUGAAUGAAAUGAUUGACUCGUUGGAGCAAGAGGCUUUUCAAGCCUGCUGAAGCGCAUCGACGCGGCUAAGCUCCCAGCACGCGCAGGUGAGUAGCACAAGGAUUUGGGAACGUUGCGUUGCACAAGGAGUUGGGUUCUAGACUAUCUAACAAACUACUGAUUUUUGGUUCUUUAUUUGACUCGAGUUGCUCAUUCCAACCGACUAUCCAUAUUCCACUCUUCAAAUCCCAAUAGCUAGUUUCCUCUUUAAAAAUUCGCACUCUCCAUCCACUCCAACAGUCUCUCUAUUUUGUACUACAACAACCUCUUCAUGUUGCACUUUCCUUUUUGACAAUUACUACCCGUAGGAUCCACACUUUGACAAAGCAAAUUGGCUUACCAAGUUUGGCAAGUGCGAGGAGAAAUUUGGCAAGUUGGAUAGGAUGGAGGGUCAGAUAGCAACUCUGUUGGACCAUGAUUUUUUUCCUAACUUAAAUUUUGGUUUGGAGGGUCGGAUAGUGACUCUCUUGAAGUUGCUCUAAUGGUGGAACGAAGGCACUUCUCCACUGGCGCUGAGGCAAGGAGCUCGGGCAAGCGCCUAGGCUCGCGGAUUUUGAGUCUGGCCCUAGCGAGGGCCAUGCGGUAUCUAAGAUCUUGGUAAGAUGGGCCACAAGGCCGCAGGGUACAGCAGGACACGUAUCAAUUGCCAAUCUGGCAUAACAAGUAAGACAAAUGUUCAAGACAGCAUUCCCUACAACUUUGGUAAAUUGGCAAUCAAGUAAUCGCGACAAUUUCUUUACCCCCACUGUUUUGUUGUUUGCGAGCUAAAUGUACUUAAAAUUGUUGGUCACCUAUUAAAACUGUUGGGGGAAAUAAUUUGUUGUAUACAUAGUUGUUAAAUUUCUCUAACCAAAAGUUUCUAUUAAAAGAAGGUAUGAUAUCACUUGUCUUAAAAAUUAAAAGAAAGAAAAAUUAAUUAAAGGUGAAUAACUGUAAC